UACAGAGGGUGCGAGCGUUGUUCGGAAUUAUUGGGCGUAAAGGGCGCGUAGGCGGUGCGGUAAGUCACCUGUGAAAUCUCCUGGCUCAACUGGGAGCUUGCAGGCGAAACUGCCGUGCUGGAGUGUGGGAGAGGUGCGUGGAAUUCCUGGUGUAGCGGUGAAAUGCGUAGAUAUCAGGAGGAACACCUGUGGCGAAAGCGGCUCACUGGACCAUUACUGACGCUGAUGCACGAAAGCUAGGGGAGCAAACAGG
rnacentral:rRNA from 1 species